AGCGAACGCUGGCGGCAGGCCUAAUACAUGCAAGUCGAGCGGCCCUUCGGGGCAGCGGCGGACGGGUGAGUAACGCGUGGGAACGUGCCCUUUGGUACGGAACAACUGAGGGAAACUUCAGCUAAUACCGUAUGUGCCCUUCGGGGGAAAGAUUUAUCGCCAUUGGAGCGGCCCGCGUUGGAUUAGCUAGUUGGUGGGGUAAUGGCCCACCAAGGCGACGAUCCAUAGCUGGUCUGAGAGGAUGACCAGCCACACUGGGACUGAGACACGGCCCAGACUCCUACGGGAGGCAGCAGUAGGGAAUCUUGCGCAAUGGGCGAAAGCCUGACGCAGCCAUGCCGCGUGAAUGAUGAAGGUCUUAGGAUUGUAAAAUUCUUUCACCGGGGACGAUAAUGACGGUACCCGGAGAAGAAGCCCCGGCUAACUUCGUGCCAGCCGCCGCCGUAACAC
rnacentral:rRNA from 1 species